rnacentral:rRNA from 1 species
AUUGAACGCUGGCGGCAGGCCUAACACAUGCAAGUCGAACGAGUGGCGGACGGGUGAGUAAUGUCUGGGAACCUGCCUGCUGGAGGGGGAUAACUACUGGAAACGGUAGCUAAUACCGCAUACCAUCAGAUGUGCCCCGAUGGGUUUAGCGAGUUGGUGGGGUAAAGGCUCACCCAGGCGACGAUCCCUAGCUGGUCUGAGAGGAUGACCGGCCACACUGGAACUGAGACACGGGCCAGACGCCUACGGGAGGCAGCAGUGGGGAAUAUUGCACAAUGGGCGCAAGCCGGAGGCAGCCAUGCCGGGUGUAGGAAGAAGGCCGUCGGGUUGUAAAGUACUUUCAGCGGGGAGGCGUUACCCGCAGAAGAAGCACCGGCUAACUCCGUGCCAGCAGCCGCGGUAAUUC